rnacentral:rRNA from 1 species
CCUACGGGAGGCAGCAGUGGGGAAUAUUGGGCAAUGGAGGCAACUCUGACCCAGCAAUGCCGCGUGAGUGAUGAAGGUAAUUUUAUUGUAAAGCUCUUUUCUUUGGAACGAAUAAAUGACGGUACCAACGGAAUAAGCUCCGGCUAACUACGUGCCAGCAGCCGCGGUAAUACGUGGGGGGCAAGCGUUGUUCGGAAUGACUGGGCGUAAAGGGUGUGUAGGUGGUUUGAUAAGUUAGAUGUGUAAUACCCAGGGCUUAACUCGGGUGCUGCAUCUAAUACUGGUAGACUUGAGUACUGGAGAGGAUAGUGGAAUUCCUAGUGUAGCGGUGGAAUGCGUAGAUAUUAGGAGGAACAUCAGUGGCGAAGGCGACUAUCUGGACAGCAACUGACACUGAGGCACGAAAGCGUGGGGAGCAAACAGGAUUAGAUACCCCAGUAGUC